UCCAGGGUAGCCUAGUGGACAUGGCAUCUGCCCGGUAAGCAGAACACUGUGGGUUCGAUUCCCAUCCUUGGAC